rnacentral:rRNA from 1 species
AUUGAACGCUGGCGGCAGGCCUAACACAUGCAAGUCGAGCGGAUGAAGGGAGCUUGCUCCUGGAUUCAGCGGCGGACGGGUGAGUAAUGCCUAGGAAUCUGCCUGGUAGUGGGGGAUAACGUCCGGAAACGGGCGCUAAUACCGCAUACGUCCUGAGGGAGAAAGUGGGGGAUCUUCGGACCUCACGCUAUCAGAUGAGCCUAGGUCCGAUUAGCUAGUUGGUGGGGUAAAGGCCUACCAAGGCGACGAUCCGUAACUGGUCUGAGAGGAUGAUCAGUCACACUGGAACUGAGACACGGUCCAGACUCCUACGGGAGGCAGCAGUGGGGAAUAUUGGACAAUGGGCGAAAGCCUGAUCCAGCCAUGCCGCGUGUGUGAAGAAGGUCUUCGGAUUGUAAAGCACUUUAAGUUGGGAGGAAGGGCAGUAAGUUAAUACCUUGCUGUUUUGACGUUACCAACAGAAUAGGCACCGGCUAACUUCGUG